rnacentral:rRNA from 1 species
UCACCAAGGCGACGAUCAGUAGCGGGUCUGAGAGGAUGAUCCGCCACACUGGGACUGAGACACGGCCCAGACUCCUACGGGAGGCAGCAGUGGGGAAUUUGGACAAUGGGCGCAAGCCUGAUCCAGCCAUGCCGCGUGUCUGAAGAAGGCCUUCGGGUUGUAAAGGACUUUUGUCAGGGAGCAAAACUUACUGGUUAAUACCUGGUGAGGUUGAGAGUACCUGAAGAAUAAGCACCGGCUAACUACGUGCCAGCAGCCGCGGUAAUACGUAGGGUGCAAGCGUUAAUCGGAAUUACUGGGCGUAAAGCGUGCGCAGGCGGACUUUUAAGCCAGAUGUGAAAGCCCCGAGCUUAACUUGGGAAUUGCGUUUGGAACUGGGAGUCUAGAGUCUGUCAGAGGGGGAUGGAAUUCCACGUGUAGCAGUGAAAUGCGUAGAGAUGUGGAGGAACACCGAUGGCGAAG